GUAGAUCCCGAGCGUUGUCCGGAUUUAUUGGGCGUAAAGCGAGCGCAGGCGGUUAGAUAAGUCUGAAGUUAAAGGCUGUGGCUUAACCAUAGUACGCUUUGGAAACUGUUUAACUUGAGUGCAAGAGGGGAGAGUGGAAUUCCAUGUGUAGCGGUGAAAUGCGUAGAUAUAUGGAGGAACACCGGUGGCGAAAGCGGCUCUCUGGCUUGUAACUGACGCUGAGGCUCGAAAGCGUGGGGAGCAAACAGGAUUAGAUACCCUGGUAGUCCACGCCGUAAACGAUGAGUGCUGGGUGUUAGACCCUUUCCGGGGUUUAGUGCCGCAGCUAACGCAUUAAGCACUCCGCCUGGGGAGUACGACCGCAAGGUUG
rnacentral:rRNA from 1 species